UCUACGGGAGGCAGCAGUGGGGGAUAUUGCACAAUGGGGGCAACCCUGAUGCAGCGACGCCGCGUGAGCGAUGGAGUACUUCGGUAUGUAAAGCUCUGUCAGCAGGGAAGAGAAUGACGGUACCUGACCAAGAAGCCCCGGCUAAAUACGUGCCAGCAGCCGCGGUAAUACGUAUGGGGCAAGCGUUAUCCGGAUUUACUGGGUGUAAAGGGAGCGUAGGCGGCAGGGCAAGCCUGAUGUGAAAGCCCGGGGCCCAACCCCGGGACUGCAUUGGGAACUGCCCCGCUCGAGUGCCGGAGGGGCAGGCGGAAUUCCUAGUGUAGCGGUGAAAUGCGUAGAUAUUAGGAGGAACACCAGUGGCGAAGGCGGCCUGCUGGACGGUGUACUGACGCUGAGGCUCGAAAGCGUGGGGAGCAAACAGGAUUAGAUACCCCUGUAGUC
rnacentral:rRNA from 1 species